UUACCUACUCUUGACAUCUAGCGAAGACUGCAGAGAUGCGGUUGUGCCUUCGGGAACGCUAAGACAGGUGCUGCAUGGCUGUCGUCAGCUCGUGUUGUGAAAUGUUGGGCUAAGUCCCGCAACGAGCGCAACCCUUAUCCUUAGUUGCCAGCACGUAAUGGUGGGAACUCUAGGGAGACUGCCGGUGAUAAACCGGAGGAAGGUGGGGACGACGUCAAGUCAUCAUGGCCCUUACGAGUAGGGCUACACACGUGCUACAAUGGUAUGUACAGAGGGAGGCAAGCUGGCGACAGUGAGCGGAUCUCUUAAAGCAUAUCGUAGUCCGGAUCGCAGUCUGCAACUCGACUGCGUGAAGUCGGAAUCGCUAGUAAUCGCAAAUCAGAAUGUUGCGGUGAAUACGUUCCCGGGCCUUGUACACACCGCCCGUCACACCAUGGGAGUGGGUUGCAAAAGAAGUAGGUAGCUUAACCUUCGGGAGGGCGCUUACCACUUUGUGAUUCAUGACUGGGGUGAAGUCGUAACAAGGUAGCC
rnacentral:rRNA from 1 species